rnacentral:rRNA from 1 species
UAAGGAAUAUUGGACAAUGGACGGAAGUCUGAUCCAGCCAUCCCGCGUGCAGGAUGACGGCCCUAUGGGUUGUAAACUGCUUUUGUACAGGAAGAAACGUGCGGAUUUAUCUGCACCUGACGGUACUGUAAGAAUAAGCACCGGCUAACUCCGUGCCAGCAGCCGCGGUAAUACGGAGGGUGCAAGCGUUAUCCGGAAUCACUGGGUUUAAAGGGUGCGUAGGCGGCUUAGUAAGUCAGAAGUGAAAGCC